rnacentral:lncRNA from 1 species
UAGGAAGACUUGCUGAAAUUUGGUCCAAAAUGGGAUAAGAACCCACAACCAUUGCUUUGAAUAAUUAAAUAGCUUGGGUAAUGUUGUUUGGGGUUAUAAUAUGUUAGAAUACAAUAAAUUUGAUUGAUUACAAGUGCUAGAGGUGCAUGAAGAGUGUUUAGAAGUGUGGAGAAAGACUUGUUGAAAUUGGGUCCCAAAUGGGCUAAAAACUCGGAAACGUCGCGUUGAACCACUAAAUGACUUAUUUAGUGUUGUUUGGGGUUAGAAUUUGUUAGAAUACAAUGAAUUUGAUUGAUUACAAGUAAUAUAGAUAGAUAAAGAGUGUUUAAAAGUGUGUAGGAAGACUUGCUGAAAUUUGGUCCAAAAUGGGACAAGAACCCACAACCAUUGCUUUGAAGAAUUAAAUGGC